UACGUAGGUGGCAAGCGUUGUCCGGAUUUACUGGGCGUAAAGGGCGUGCAGGCGGUUUGUUAAGUCGAGUGUGAAAGCCCCCGGCUCAACUGGGGAGGGUCAUUCGAUACUGAUCGACUCGAAGGCAGGAGAGGGAAGUGGAAUUCCCGGUGUAGUGGUGAAAUGCGUAGAUAUCGGGAGGAACACCAGUGGCGAAGGCGACUUCCUGGCCUGUUCUUGACGCUGAGGCGCGAAAGCUAGGGGAGCAAACGGG
rnacentral:rRNA from 1 species